rnacentral:rRNA from 1 species
AGUGAACGCUGGCGGUAGGCCUAACACAUGCAGUCGAACGGCAGCACAGGAGAGCUUGCUCUCUGGGUGGCGAGUGGCGGACGGGUGAGGAAUACAUCGGAAUCUACUUUUUCGUGGGGGAUAACGUAGGGAAACUUACGCUAAUACCGCAUACGACCUACGGGUGAAAGCAGGGGAUCUUCGGACCUUGCGCGAUUGAAUGAGCCGAUGUCGGAUUAGCUAGUUGGCGGGGUAAAGGCCCACCAAGGCGACGAUCCGUAGCCGGUCUGAGAGGAUGAUCAGCCACACUGGAACUGAGACACGGUCCAGACUCCUACGGGAGGCAGCAGUGGGGAAUAUUGGACAAUGGGCGCAAGCCUGAUCCAGCCAUACCGCGUGGGUGAAGAGGGCCUUCGGGUUGUAAAGCCCUUUUGUUGGGAAAGAAAUCCAGCUGGUUAAUACCCGGUUGGGAUGACGGUACCCAAAGAAUAAGCACCGGCUAACUUCGUGCCAGCCGCCGCCGUAA